rnacentral:lncRNA from 1 species
GGAUCUUUGAGAGUGUGCAGGAGUAUGUGGCUGAAGCGGCCCAGCUGGUGAGCCACUGAAGAUGGGGGUCAUAGGUAGAUGGAGGAAUUGCCAGGUCAGAAUCUCGGUAGGAGAUGACUUGAGCUGAUGCUGCCUGGCACAUAGGGGUUUAGAAGAUAUUAGGAAGGAAGCCCCACAGCGUGCCCAAGUGCCAUGCAGGCCCUGGAGACGGUCAUUGGAGGGCGUCUGUGGAUGGCGCAGUGGGGGAUGGGAAGUCCCUAAUCUGCUGGGGCUUUCCCAGCAAGCAGGGACUGAGGGGGAUAGUCCCCAACACAUGGGCCCCAGGGAGAAGGGCCUGUUUCAUUGAGGUUUGGAGAGUGUUGAGGGUAAGCUAACCUGUCACCCCACG